rnacentral:rRNA from 1 species
UACGUAGGGUCCGAGCGUUGUCCGGAAUUAUUGGGCGUAAAGGGCUCGUAGGCGGUCUGUUGCGUCGGGAGUGAAAUCUUACAGCUUAACUGUGAACUUGCUUUCGAUACGGGCAGACUUGAGGUAUUCAGGGGAGAACGGAAUUCCUGGUGUAGCGGUGAAAUGCGUAGAUAUCAGGAGGAACACCUGCGGUGUAGACGGCUUUCUGGACCAUUGUUGACGCUGAGACACGAAAGCGUGGGUAGCAAACAGG